ensembl:lncRNA
GGAGAAUGUCGGUAGGUCCAGAAUGUCUUUCCUUAUCAGGAUUGGACUUCCUCCCCGCCGCUCAAACUAUCCAGUCCUCCCGUGUUUCAUACACGCUUCCUGGAGGAUAACCACAGCCGUCCUACGGAGCAAGCAAGCCGGAGAGGUAUACUUAUCUAUGUGAAGGAACAUGAACAUGGACCCUUGAACUCAAGAAAUGACAACACCCCCCCGGCACAAUCUAGUAACAUUUUUUUAGUUUUUAUCUGUUUUGUUUGGUUUUCCAUCUCUGUCUUUGAUGGAAAACAACUAAUUAUGUGGCAUUUUUCAUUCAGAUGACACUUAGCAACGCGGUCCAUGUCCAAUUCUAUCUCACUACUGUAAAGCCUGCUUGUCUCUUGAAGAGUGAUAUUUAAAUUCUACCUUGACACACCUUUCUCCUGCCUCCACAUAUCUCUCAUUUCUGUGGAAGAUCGGGACGUUUGACGUCAGCACUUACCACACAAUAUUCCACUGCAAUCUAGUGCUAAUUAAAUUGCUAUAGCCUCCUUGCAAGACCAAGGUGUGUUCAUUUUUGUCUGAUUCAUAGUUAAGAUUUGUUGUAUUUUAUGUUAUUUAAACUCUUGUUUGACAUGUAGCCGUCAUUUCUAAGCUGCACUUUAUUGAUAAAUAUCAAGAUCAUUUCAAACUGUAAUUUA